CGACGAAGGUGGCAAGCGUUGUUCGGAAUUAUUGGGCUUAAAGAGCACGUAGGCGGCUCAGCAAGCGUCGUGUGAAAUCCCCCGGCUUAACCGGGGAAUUGUGCGGCGAACUGUUGGGCUUGAGGCAAGUAGGGGUGUGUGGAACUCUUAGUGGAGCGGUGGAAUGCGUAGAUAUUAAGAGGAACGCCGGAGGCGAAGGCGACACACUGGGCUUGUCCUGACGCUGAGGUGCGAAAGCCAGGGUAGCGAACGGGAUUAGAUACCCCGGUAGUCCUGGCCAUAAACGAUGUCCACUAGGCCGGAGAACUUCUGACAGUUUUCCGGCUGAAACAAAAGCAUUAAGUGGACCGCCUGGGGAGUACGGUCGCAAGGCUGAA
rnacentral:rRNA from 1 species